rnacentral:lncRNA from 1 species
AUGUUCGGGAGCUCGUCUGGGACCCCGCUGCAGUUCUCCUCAGGCUCCUCUCAGAUCGCCUUUGGACAGGCGGCGCCGGCCCAGAACACGGGCGCGGCUGCUGCUGCUUUCGGAGGCUUCGGGACGACCACCACCACGUCUUCGCAGUCCGCUUUCGGGGCGACCACCUCCGCCCCGUCUGCGAUAAGCUUUGGACGACCACGGCUUCUCGCAGCUGGCGCCUCCUCCCACCUUCGGGACGACCUCCACCGCGCAAUCCGCUCUGGGCUUUGGGACGACGGCGUCUUCGCAGUCGACUUUCGGGACGACCACCUCGCAGUCGGUUCUUGGCUUCGGGACGAGCACCGCCGCCCCGUCUGCUGCGCUCACCUUUGGGACGACCACAUCCUCACAGCCGCGCCUACUUUCAGGACGACCACUGCCGCCCCAUCUGCGCUCACCUUCGGGUCGACCACAUCCUCACAGGCCGCUCACACCUUUGGGACGGCCACAUCCUCACAGGCCGCUCACACCUUUGGGACGGCCACAUCCUCACAGGCCGCUCACACCUUCACUGCCGCCCCGUCUGCUCUAACCUUCGGGACGACCUCCACUGCGCAGUCGCCUCUUAGUUUUGGGACUGCGGCGUCUUCACAGUCGACUUUCGGGACGACCACCACCGCGCAAUCUGCUGUUGGUUUUGGGACUGCGGCGUCUUCACAGUCGACGUUCGGGACGACCACCGUCGCCCCGUCCGCUCUGACUUUCGGGACGACCUCCUCCCAGCCCUCGCAGCCGUCUUUCACCUUUGGGAAGUCGUCGCUUGAGUCCAGUUCUGCGGCUGAACCUCCCAAACCGUUCUCGUUUGGCGCCCCGGCCUCUGCCCCGCCCCAAACAGCCGCCGCUCCCUCUCUAGGUCAGCUCCCCCACCACGGCGCACUCGUUCGGGACCGUGGCCACGCCCUCGUUCUCCUUGGCAGCUCCACCGUCACCCCCGCAGCCGCCCCAGGCUCCGGCGGCUUCAGCUUUGGCAGCGCGGCUACGCAGCUCGCUCCGCAGCCCGCUCCUCAAACGCUCAGGCCUCCACCCCUUCAAGUUCGGGACAGCGACGGCCGCGCAGUUCGGGACGCCGAGCACAGCGCCGCGUCUCCGAUGGGAGCGUUCACGUUCGGGACUCGGACAAACCCUCAUUUGGAACUCCCGCCGCGGUGUUCGGGCAGACCUCCACUCCUGCUCCCAUUCCCUUCGGCAGCCCGGGCGCUCCCACUCCGAGCUUCAACGCGCCGUCGCCUUUCGGUUCUCCGGCCACGCCCUCGUUCUCCAUCGGCGCCGGGUCGAAGCCCUCGGCGGCGCGGCAGCGACUGCAGGCGCGGCGGCCGCACACGCGCAAGAAAUAACGUCCUGCUGAACCUCCACAAAGACACUUUAUAUGAACUGUCUCGGACCAUGUACAGGCUGCUCUCAACGCUGGACUUUAUGUGUCAUUUUGAUGU